GUGGGGAAUAUUGCACAAUGGGCGCAAGCCUGAUGCAGCGACGCCGCGUGGGGGAUGACGGCCUUCGGGUUGUAAACUCCUUUCGCUAGGGACGAAGCUUUUUGUGACGGUACCUAGAUAAGAAGCACCGGCUAACUACGUGCCAGCAGCCGCGGUAAUACGUAGGGUGCGAGCGUUGUCCGGAAUUACUGGGCGUAAAGGGCUCGUAGGUGGUUUGUCGCGUCGUCUGUGAAAUUCCGGGGCUUAACUCCGGGCGUGCAGGCGAUACGGGCAUAACUUGAGUACUGUAGGGGUAACUGGAAUUCCUGGUGUAGCGGUGAAAUGCGCAGAUAUCAGGAGGAACACCGAUGGCGAAGGCAGGUUACUGGGCAGUUACUGACGCUGAGGAGCGAAAGCAUGGGUAGCGAACAGGAUUAGAUACCCUUGUAGUCC
rnacentral:rRNA from 2 species